rnacentral:rRNA from 1 species
GACGAACGCUGGCGGCGCGCUUAACACAUGCAAGUCGAACGGAAAGGCCUGCUUUCCCUUGUGGAUUGCGGGUACUCGAGUGGCGAACGGGUGAGUAACACGUGAGUGAUCUGCCCCCAACUUGGGUAUAAGCCUGGGAAACUGGGUCUAAUUCCCGAUAGGACUGCAGGGUGGUGCCUGUGGUGGAAAACGAUUUUCUAGUGGUUGGGGAUGAGCUCGCGGCCUAUCAGCUUGUUGGUGGGGUAAUGGCCUACCAAGGCGGCGACGGGUAGCCGGCCUGAGAGGGUGGACGGCCACAUUGGGACUGGGAUACGGCCCAGACUCCGACGGGAGGCAGCAGUGGGGAAUAUUGCACAAUGGGCGGAAGCCUGAUGCAGCGACGCCGCGUGGGGGAUGACGGCCUUCGGGUUGUAAACUCCUUUCGACCGCGAGGAAGCCACCUGGUUGGAAGGGUGGUGACGGUAGUGGUAGAAGAAGCACCGGCUAACUACGU